GGCAGAAGGCAUCUGGCUGGCUGGACUCGGUGGCUGAGAUAAUAUCACAGUGUCUUAUGUCAUAUAAGCUUCCUACAAAGAUGACGUUUUCUCUUAGUAAGAGGAUAGAACAGCUCUGGAGCUUGUUGGACGAGAUGUGCUGGAUAGCACAACAGUUCAAAAGGACCGGGCGUUUGGUCAGAAACACUGCCGCUGGUUUGUCAAACGGAGUGUUGUCAGAGAGGCGACUGUCAUCACUGGGCAUGCUGCAGUAUUAACGCUCGGGUGACUCUGCAACUGUGCUGCUGAUUGAAUGGCUUAAGCAGCGACGGCUGAAAUUGGGACUCAGUUCACACAGUCACUAUUGCCUCUCUGAGGACAUGUUCUUUAAGGCAGAGGGGGCAAGCUUGAUUUCUAAUGAUGCCAAGAGCUUACCCCUUCUAUGAGAAGUAGUCAAGAAAAAGUUGUCACACUUAGCCUGUCCCGGUGCACCAUAUUCCAAGGAGAGAGAUGUUCUGGUG